rnacentral:rRNA from 1 species
GACGAACGCUGGCGGCAUGCCUAACACAUGCAAGUCGAACGGAGCCAAUCAGAAGAUCCCUUCGGGGUGAUUUUGAGGAAGCUUAGUGGCGGACGGGUGAGUAACGCGUGAGUAACCUGCCUUUCAGAGGGGGAUAACGUUCCGAAAGGGACGCUAAUACCGCAUAACGUAUUUUACCGCAUGAUAGAAAUACCAAAGAUUUAUCGCUGAAAGAUGGACUCGCGUCUGAUUAGCUAGUUGGAGGGGUAACGGCCCACCAAGGCGACGAUCAGUAGCCGAACUGAGAGGUUGAUCGGCCACAUUGGGACUGAGACACGGCCCAG